rnacentral:rRNA from 1 species
CGGCGGACGGGUGAGUAACGCGUGGGUAACCUACCCUGUACACACGGAUAACAUACCGAAAGGUAUGCUAAUACGGGAUAAUAUAUUUGAGAGGCAUCUCUUGAAUAUCAAAGGUGAGCCAGUACAGGAUGGACCCGCGUCUGAUUAGCUAGUUGGUAAGGUAACGGCUUACCAAGGCGACGAUCAGUAGCCGACCUGAGAGGGUGAUCGGCCACAUCGGAACUGAGACACGGUCCAA